GUAGGGCGGGACACGUGGUAUCCUGUCUGAAUAUGGGGGGACCAUCCUCCAAGGCUAAAUACUCCUGACUGACCGAUAGUGAACCAGUACCGUGAGGGAAAGGCGAAAAGAACCCCGGCGAGGGGAGUGAAAAAGAACCUGAAACCGUGUACGUACAAGCAGUGGGAGCACGCUUAGGCGUGUGACUGCGUACCUUUUGUAUAAUGGGUCAGCGACUUAUAUUCUGUAGCAAGGUUAACCGAAUAGGGGAGCCGAAGGGAAACCGAGUCUUAACUGGGCGUUAAGUUGCAGGGUAUAGACCCGAAACCCGGUGAUCUAGCCAUGGGCAGGUUGAAGGUUGGGUAACACUAACUGGAGGACCGAACCGACUAAUGUUGAAAAAUUAGCGGAUGACUUGUGGCUGGGGGUGAAAGGCCAAUCAAACCGGGAGAUAGCUGGUUCUCCCCGAAAGCUAUUUAGGUAGCGCCUCGUGAAUUCAUCUCCGGGGGUAGAGCACUGUUUCGGCAAGGGGGUCAUCCCGACUUACCAACCCGAUGCAAACUGCGAAUACCGGAGAAUGUUAUCACGGGAGACACACGGCGGGUGCUAACGUCCGUCGUGAAGAGGGAAACAACCCAGACCGCCAGCUAAGGUCCCAAAGUCAUGGUUAAGUGGGAAACGAUGUGGGAAGGCCCAGACAGCCAGGAUGUUGGCUUAGAAGCAGCCAUCAUUUAAAGAAAGCGUAAUAGCUCACUGGUCGAGUCGGCCUGCGCGGAAGAUGUAACGGGGCUAAACCAUGCACCGAAGCUGCGGCAGCGACGCUUAUGCGUUGUUGGGUAGGGGAGCGUUCUGUAAGCCUGUGAAGGUGUGCUGUGAGGCAUGCUGGAGGUAUCAGAAGUGCGAAUGCUGACAUAAGUAACGAUAAAGCGGGUGAAAAGCCCGCUCGCCGGAAGACCAAGGGUUCCUGUCCAACGUUAAUCGGGGCAGGGUGAGUCGACCCCUAAGGCGAGGCCGAAAGGCGUAGUCGAUGGGAAACAGGUUAAUAUUCCUGUACUUGGUGUUACUGCGAAGGGGGGACGGAGAAGGCUAUGUUGGCCGGGCGACGGUUGUCCCGGUUUAAGCGUGUAGGCUGGUUUUCCAGGCAAAUCCGGAAAAUCAAGGCUGAGGCGUGAUGACGAGGCACUACGGUGCUGAAGCAACAAAUGCCCUGCUUCCAGGAAAAGCCUCUAAGCAUCAGGUAACAUCAAAUCGUACCCCAAACCGACACAGGUGGUCAGGUAGAGAAUACCAAGGCGCUUGAGAGAACUCGGGUGAAGGAACUAGGCAAAAUGGUGCCGUAACUUCGGGAGAAGG
rnacentral:rRNA from 1 species